AUAAAAUUGAACAUCCAGAUCAUUUUUCUGUUGAGAAAAGGCUGUUUUGGAGAAUAUUCAACGUAACUUGAUUAAAUUAUUUAAAAGGAAAUUUCACAAUUUUUUGAAGGAAAUUUUGGUCAAAAUAAGGAGAAAAAAAGGAUUUUUUUGUUUUUGAAAGUGGAAGCACUUAUAAUAGCCAUGAUAAUAGCACAGAGAAGCAGAGAGUAGAUACUGAUAAUCUGAUAUAGUCACAGAGGAGAUACACUAACUGUAAGUUCUUUUUUGAAAACUGCGAAUAAACUUCAAGUUUAAUUUGGUUGUUUUGGGCUUCUCAUAACAAGGUAUGUUCGAUCACAUUUAUUUUUUAUCACAUGCAGACAUCUGAUAUAUCUGCCCGAAGCAAAAAGAACAUGCAAACAUGCGUGCAUAGUGACACAAGUUUGUUUUCAAUCUCAGUCGUGUCAAAAAUGAGAUCAAAAAGCUGAAAAAAGUGUUUAAAAACAAAAAAGUCGGUUUUCAUUGCAAGUUUUUCUGG